AUGUGGACAGAACCUGCCGUACCUGAAUAGUGAUGCGGACAUCUUUCCCCUCCUUCACUGCUGUGAAGCUGGUAAACUCUGGGUCAGGAUAAGUUACCUGAUAGCUGCUGCUCAUCAGAGGCAUGACUUCCUGCAGGGUGGGGCUGUGUGUGAUCCCCUCCACCAAAUUCAGAAAUGUGUCUCCAAGUCUGAUCGUCACGGUAACGUCAAGAUCUGAAAAUCAAAGAUAAAGUAUGGAACAUUAACAGCUGAAACAAAAUGUUUAAAGACUUCCUGACCAUCACUGACCAUCAGCAGAGUUGAGAUGAAGGAUGGAGCUGAGAUGAAGUUUCUCUGACCUUUUCUCAGAGACACACCAGACACAGAAUGGAUCC